UACGUAGGGUGCGAGCGUUGUCCGGAAUUAUUGGGCGUAAAGAGCUCGUAGGCGGUCUGUCGCGUCGGUCGUGAAAACUUGGGGCUUAACCCUGAGCUUGCGGUCGAUACGGGCAUGACUGGAGUUCGGCAGGGGAGACUGGAAUUCCUGGUGUAGCGGUGAAAUGCGCAGAUAUCAGGAGGAACACCGGUGGCGAAGGCGGGUCUCUGGGCCGAUACUGACACUGAGGAGCGAAAGCGUGGGGAGCGAACAGG
rnacentral:rRNA from 1 species